GAUGAACGCUGGCGGCGUGCCUAAUACAUGCAAGUCGAGCGAACAGAUAAGGAGCUUGCUCCUUUGACGUUAGCGGCGGACGGGUGAGUAACACGUGGGUAACCUACCUAUAAGACUGGAAUAACUCCGGGAAACCGGGGCUAAUGCCGGAUAACAUUUAGAACCGCAUGGUUCUAAGGUGAAGAUGGGUUUGGCUUUCACUUCUGGAUGGACCCGCGCCGUAUUAGCUAGUUGGUAAGUUAACGCCUUACCAAGGCAACGAUCCGUAGCCGACCUGAGAGGGUGAUCGGCCACACUGGAACUGAGACACGGUCCAGACUCCUACGGGAGGCAGCAGUAGGGAAUCUUCCGCAAUGGGCGAAAGCCUGACGGAGCAACGCCGCGUGAGUGAUGAAGGUCUUCGGAUCGUAAAACUCUGUUAUUAGGGAAGAACAAAUGUGUAAGUAACUGUGCACGUCUUGACGGUACCUAAUCAGAAAGCCACGGCUAACUACGUG
rnacentral:rRNA from 1 species